UUCUGCAUCUGUUGAUUCUCAAAUGUCUUCAGCUCAAAAUAAUUUUUAUGCCACUGUCGUGUAAUUUGGACUACUUCGUAAGUGUCCUGGCAAAUAUUAAAAAAGGUCCUGUUUGUAAUAUUUCCCGAAACUUUAGUUAAAAAUAUGUACACCAAAUUAGCCUCUUCCCUCCUUGCAAGGGGCGCCAAAUUAUGAAUUAUGCAUAUAUAUAUAUAUAUAUGCACACACAUACACAAAUUUGCAAAAACUUUACCUGUAAGUUCAAUUUUAGUCCACCAAAAGCUGAGACUAAAAGGUCGAAAGAUUUUUGAGAUCAACUGUCAUCGGCAAAAGGCUGUGAAGGCAAUUGGGGGCUGUAUGUCGGUACAAAAGUGUGAUUUUACACCUGGGAGACACCAGCUGUGGGGGACCCAGAGGAUUUUAUUUUUGCUCUAGAUUCUAGAGCCCAGAAGAAAUGAUACUAUAAGAACAUGGCCUCUUGAGGGAAUGCUUCCUGGUGCUCAGAAGCAGAGAUGCUGGUCUGAGUUACUUUUAGAAUGCACAUUUGUCUAUUUCAGGGCAUUUUUUAAUAUUGUUUUCAUUCUUAAAAUUCUACGUACUUUACUGCCUCAUUGCAAGUGUUUGAAAUAAAUGUAAGGUGUUUUCCGGGCAGGGUAGAAAUCUGCAGAACCUUGAUACUCCAAGUGUAGUCCUGGACCUGCAGCAUGUGGGACCCAGUUAGAAUGCAGUCUCAGGUCCCAUCCCUGACCUACAGACUAGAAUCUGCAUUUCAACAAGAUCUCCAGGGGAUUGCUAUGCUCUUUAACAGCCAAUUGGAAAUGUGGAGUUCUGGGUUCCACUUCAGCCAAACUUUCCUAACGUCUGAGACCCCUUGGCUUAAAAGUUUCAAGUUACUUACAUGAACAUAAGAAAUUUCAUAUCUAAUGAAUUUCUAUGAUAACAGUAAUUGCUUCUCGUGGAGAGUGCUGAGGAGGGGAAACUUUCAUGUCCUUUGUAUGGCUUGAAUUUUUUUAAAUUAUGUAUGUAUAUUAUCUUUAUUACGAUAAAGUAGACACUACUUUGCAAUAGAAGAGUACAAUUUACAAAUUACCUUCCAAAACAUGAUUUCACAAAUGCUCCAAACAUCCAUGAACCAAGAAGUGAUAACAUUCGGGUGUCUCUAGGCUACAGAUGAAGAUUUUGAAGUAUAAAGGUCACAAAGGAAACACUGAAAAUUAGAGCCAAAAAUAGGAUCCAAGGGUUUAAAAUAUUUUUUAUUAUGAAAAAUCCAAACAUUUAUAAAGUAAAGAGAAUAUUAUAAUGGACUCCCACGUAAUAUCAGUACCUAUCAGUACCAUGCACUAUCACCCCCCCCAUUCCAUUAUUUCAUAUACCAAUAUCUCUAUAUACGUUGUAAGGUAAAAUGUGCAUACAUUGAAAUGAACAAGCCUUAUCCAAAUCCCUUUUUUCUCUUAAUUCCAAUCUUGUUUGGCAAAAAUCUGGCUCAAUUGCCUCCCAAAUGUAAAUGCUAUUGACGGAUUUCCUGCUGUUUCCUACACUGAGUUGAAUCAUCCUUCCCUCAAUUUAGGUUCGGCCAGAAGUGGAAUGCCUUUGUUCUCUGUUAGAAAGCAUAUGGGAUAUUAAGUCUGAUUGCUGCAUUGUUACCCACGCACAAGUGAAACCCGGGCAUGCCCCCUUCCAACUGUCCUUCUUGCCAGCAAGCCUCCCCACAAAUUGAAAGCUCAGAGCCCCUCGGUUGUGCGGUAGCCAGAGCUAGCCUUGCACCCCAUCACACCCCAGUGCCCACUACUCUGAGCCAGCUAUUUGGGCUAUCAUAAAUACACUCGAUGCUCAUUUAUUUAGUUUUAUGUGCCAGCUGUUGCCCCUACUUGAUCUCGUCUCAGAGCAAUCUGAACUCAGAAGGCUCCCAUUUCCCUUUAAAAGCUGGAAAAGAAAAUAUAAGCUUGCCUUCCAUCUCAUUGCAGGAGAUGAGUCAGCAGAACAGGAAAUUCUCCUUGCACAAGCCCUUCUGAUCCCGUGGGUGGGGUGUGUGUGGCAUCGAGCGAGGGCUGGGAAGGGAACCGGCUUCUCCCCUGGAACCACUUGGAUAGGUGAACAAUGUAAGCUGGCUGGUGAGUUCAGCAGUGUUGACACACACCUUGCCAAUUAGAAUUGCCCCAACAUGUUUUGGGGAAAGCUCAGCUGCUUCCAAAUAAGGAACAAGGCAAAUAGAAAAAUCAGUGUUUGCCAACAUCUAGGUGGCUUCAGAGGUGGAGAGGUGAGUGGAGCUGCUGCUGGUGAAACUCGCUGUGCAUCUGAGCGGCAAGCCCGGCUUUCAGGGAUGUUGGAGGAAAGAAGUGAUUUAAGGUGGGGUGAAAGAAAGUCCUUUAAAGCCACAAAAGCCCUAGUGGUGCAAUUAUGCACACGUAGUGAAUUACAGGAGCUGCGGGCACUGGAAACAUCUCUGUGGGGAAGCCACCUCUGGCCCAAUCUGUAGUGACAGUGCCAAGUCCACGGGGGGGCAUUCAAGGGGUGGCCCGGGUUCUGCUCCUAACCAGCUGGGAGGCUUGGAGUAAGUCCUCCCAUCCCAUUCUCGCCUGCAGAAAGACAGUUAGACACGAUAAGCACUUCCAUCUCUAAAGUGCAGCUCCUCCUCGACUUAUGAUGGGGUGACGUCCAGGUAAACCCAUCACGAAUUGAAGACAUCACGAAGUCGAAAUGCAUUCGAUGCUCCUAACCUACCCACCAUCAGAGCUCAGCCUUAAACGGCACAGAACAGCAACAUUAGCCUACAGUUGGGCAAAAUCAUCUCACGCAAAGCCUAUUUGAUAAUAGUGUUGACUAGCUCAUGUAAUUGAUUGACUACUGUACUGAAAGCAAAAAACAGGAUGGCUCUCCGGGUACAGAAGGGUUGGAAGUAAAUCAGUCAUUCACCCUCUCGAUGGAUGGAUGGAUGGCGGGGCCGACCGGGAGCUGCGGCUGGCUGCCACUGCUCCGCAUCACAAGAUAGGAUCGUGUGGCACGUUGCUAGCCCGGGAAAAGAUCCAAAUUCAAAAUUCGAAGUAUGGUUUCUACUGCAUACAUAUCGCUUUCGCAGCAUCAUACGGUGGAAAAAUGUUAAGUCGCACCCUGGUUAAGUCGGGGGCCGUCUGUACCGUAGCUCCACUGCAAACUCAAAUUGGAUUAGCAUUAACCCCACAUUUUCCUCUCCUUCCAUGACUUUUCCAAUGAGACACUAAGAAAGAAAUAACUGAGUGUGGCUGUGAGCGAGGCCAGGACUCUUUAAAAUAACUAUUCUGUGGGAAUCAGGCACUGGGUGCUGUGUGUGUGUGUGUGUGUGUGUGUGUACAUUUCUACUGGGUGGGGCUGUGUGGAGGGGAAAAAGCAUUCAGCCGCUCUGAAUGCUUCAGCUUUGCAGAAAAAUAGAUGCAGCAAAGAUUGAGGAGUGAGAUUUUUGCAUAGAAGGUGGGGGAGGAGUAAAUGUGCUGAGAUUAAAAAAAGAAUGAGGACACAGAAGGGUAGGCUGAGAAUGAGCCAAGAAGUAAAAAUAUGCUGGGGCUUUUAAAAAGGGUGUAGCCAGAGCCGGUUAAAGCCUACCCUUCCACUCGGCCUGGCCUUCCCCUCACCCCGCCUGGACCCAUUCUAAAUUCUUUCGAGGCGCGGGGCCCUCCCCCCUCCUCCCCCGCGGAGAAAGGAUCUAGGAGCCGGGAGGAAGUGACACAUUUUCCUGCUUGAAUGGAGCAGGCCCCUGCAGCAGCUUCUCAGCAGUCGUCAGCAAUCUUAUCUCACCCCGGCCAUCCAUCGAGGGCGCCUGGUUCCUCAAACAAUGCUUUCCUCUGGCUGAAUGAACCCUGGGCGAGGACUAGAAGGCCCAGGCGGCUCCGUGUUUAGAGGUUCAGGGUAACCUGUGUGCUUCAUGUUCCUUUCUAGUGCACCAUCCAAUGAAUAAUCAAGCUCUGAGGGUAGCACUCACUUAGACUUUUGUUCCUCCAGAAAAGGGGUCUCAUUCCUGCCCCUGCAUCUCGGGAAUGCCGUGCAGGGGGCCCCAGAGCUGUGAAGUAGGAGAAUCCUAAGGAACUAGAGUGACAAAAUGGAGGUCAUCAACAUUUUGGAUUUGGCCACAGAGUUGAUUUCUCUGGAAGGACUAGAAACUCACACUGAAGGGCACCCAAGUUCUUCCUUUGAGAUCCAAAGCUAUGAAGAAAGUCUCCAAGCAUGACCUGGGAGAAGUUGCUCCUCUGGUAACCAGUAGGAUUUGUAUUGAGCAUGGAAUCAUUUAAGGAGCGUUGGCUGAUGGAGGUGGCAUACAAAGGCAUGUAUUUCAGGACUGUACUCUCAGACUUUCUGCAGAGGGAUGAAGAAGACUGGGGAUGACUCUUCCAUGUAAAACCAAAGUAGCCUGCAUGUCAUCUGCAAGGAUGUCACUAAGAAAUGUAUUGUUCAGCUACCACUUAAGAAAGAUUUCAUUUGACUCAGAGGUUAUGAUGGGGAGAACAAGAAGCAGAAGAAAACAAAAGCUACCCUGGAUUAUUAAACUCCAUCCAAUCUCAUGGAUAUGCUUUACUGAAAGAACAGAAGACAAAGAGGAGGUGGUGGCCAAAAAAAAAAUCCCUGAAGCUGAUUUUGAAGAGGUAGAUGACUCAGUUAAAUCUGCAUGAGUGAAGAAGUCCAGAAACAAGGCAGAAACAUCUAAGAAGUGAUGUGCCUUUCAUCAGAAGAGGUGAAGAGUAAGAUGAAGACUGAGUAGGUGGGAUUAAGUAGGCAGGGGGAAAGAAAGUUCCUAUAAAGUCAUAAGUUGAGAGCUAGAAGGGACCACUGAGAUACUCUAGUGCUAUGUCUUUCAUCUUAUAGAUGAAAAGCAACCCAGGUUGGUGAUGUCCCUGCCUGAAGCCUCAGCUGGUAUUAAGGGGGAGCAGGCAUGGGCUCACACCUCCUGAAUGCAGAGAGUUCUCUCAUCUUCCAUGUCUGGGGCUCCUUAAAUAGGGUGACCACACACUUUGUUAUCUAAACCUAAACUUUUGGGGCACCUGAGUGGCUCAGUGGUUGAGCGUCCGCCUUUAGCUCAGAGCAUGAUCCCAGGAUCCAGGAUCA